AAAAGAUCCACACACGCACCCAGUUUCAAGGUGUCAAUAGGGCAUGUCGGCUGCGCCGGUGGAGGAGACGGCACCACCGGAGGUGGUGGUGGACACGGGGUUUCCGUAGGAGGGCUUGGUGGUGUAACCACGGGAGGUGUUGGUGUAGGUGGUGUAACAAUCGGUGGGGUUGGUGUAGGUGGUGUAACAAUAGGUGGUGAUGGUACAACUGGGGGUAGUGGAACAUAAGGUGGAGGGUAAACAAUUGGUGGUUUCACAAUAGGAGGUGUUGGAACAUAAGGUGGAGGGUAAACAAUUGGUGGUUUCACAAUAGGAGGUUUUGGAACAUAAGGUGGAGGGUAAACAAUGGGUGGUUUUGGCACAUAAGGUGGUGUCACCGGUACAACCGGUGGCUUAGGCACAUAUGGCGGUGUAACUGGUACAACAGGUGGUUUUGGCACAUAAGGUGGAGAAACAACUGGUGGCUUAGGAACAUAAGGUGGUGGUUUCACAACUGGUGGUUUAGGCACAUAAGGAGGUUUCACAAUUGGUGGUUUGGGAACAUGGGGUGGUUUUGGCACAUAAGGUGGUUUCACAAUUGGUGGUUUUGGAACAUGGGGUGGUUUCACAACUGGUGGUUUUGGCACAUGAGGUGGUUUAACCACUGGAGGCUUGGGAUAGUGAGGUGGUUUUGGUGAUGGCUUGGGGGGUGGACAUGGUUCCGGGCCAUGAGAUGGAGGGUACUUUGGGGGGUUAUGAACUGGUGGCUUCACUAUAGGAGGAUGUUGUGGCGGUUUAUGAACAGGGGGCUUCACUAUUGGAGGGUGUUGUGGCGGUUUGUGAACCGGAGGCUUCACAAUAGGGUGCUUUGGAGGCUUAGAAGGAGCAGGGUAGGGACAAUAAGGACAAGCAAGAACAAUAUUGAGCAAGGUGCUCAAGUUCAAGAGAAGAAUC
rnacentral:lncRNA from 1 species